AGAGACCACACCAAUGUUUCAGGUCCAUUUGUUAUGGAAGAUGACUUGAAUGGUGGCCCUGCAAAUGCCUCUGAAACAGCUGAUACUAUUCUUGAAGAGCUAAAGAGGCUGUUGGACACUAAGGAAGGUGAUGCAAAUGUUGUCCCAAUUCAAGAUCAUCA